rnacentral:rRNA from 1 species
CAUGCAAGUCGUACGGCAUCAGCCCUUCGGGGUGUUGACGAGUGGCGCACGGGUGAGUAACGCGUAGGUAAUCUGCCUUAGGGAAUGGGAUAGCUCUACGAAAGUAGGAUUAAUACCAUAUAGUUUCGUACAGUUUAUUUAUUGUAUGAAUAAAGGUUUCGGCCGCCCUUAGAUGAGCCUGCGUUAGAUUAGCUUGUUGGUAAGGUAAUGGCUUACCAAGGCUACGAUCUAUAGCCGAGCUGAGAGGCUGACCGGCCACAUUGGAACUGAGACACGGUCCAGACUCCUACGGGAGGCAGCAGCUAAGAAUCUUCCGCAAUGGUCGAUAGACUGACGGAGCGACGCCGCGUGGAUGAUGAAGGCCUUACAGGUUGUAAAAUCCUUUUAGAUUGGACGAAUGUAUAAUGUAGGUUAUGCUGACGGUACUUUCUGAAUAAGGUCCGGCUAACUACGUGCCAGCAGCCGCGGUAAUACGUAGGGACCUAGCGUUGUUCGGAAUUAUUGGGCGUAAAGGGUACGUAGGCGGUCAAGUAAGUCAGCUGUGAAAUCCUUGGGCUUAACCGGGGCAUUGCGCUUGAAACUGUAUAUCUAGAGCGUGUCAGGGGUAAGCGGAAUUCCCGGAGUAGCGGUGAAAUGCGUAGAUAUCGGGAAGAACACCGGUGGCGAAGGCGGCUUACUGGGACAUGACUGACGCUGAGGCACGAAAGCGUGGGAGCGAACGGGAUUAGAUACCCCGGUAGUCCACGCUGUAAACGAUGGAUACUAGAUGUCAGGUGUAUUAAAAUACUUGGUGUCGAAGCAAACGCGAUAAGUAUCCCGCCUGGGGAGUACGGUCGCAAGAUUAAAACUCAAAGGAAUUGACGGGGGCCCGCACAAGCGGUGGAGCAUGUGGUUUAAUUCGAUGCAACGCGAAGAACCUUACCCGGACUUGACAUCCUCCUGGCCGAUCCUGGAGACAGGAUUUUUCUCUUCGGAGACAGGAGUGACAGGUGCUGCAUGGCUGUCGUCAGCUCGUGUUGUGAGAUGUUGGGUUAAGUCCCGCAACGAGCGCAACCCUUGUGUUUAGUUGCCAUCAUUAAGUUGGGCACUCUAGACAGACUGCCGAGGUUAACUCGGAGGAAGGUGGGGAUGACGUCAAGUCCUCAUGGCCUUUAUGUCCGGGGCCACACACGUGCUACAAUGGUGCAGACAGAGGGAAGCGAGACCGCGAGGUUAAGCAAAUCCCAGAAACUGUAUCUUAGUUCGGAUUGGAGUCUGCAACUCGACUCCAUGAAGUUGGAAUCGCUAGUAAUCGCGGAUCAGCAUGCCGCGGUGAUACGUUCCCGGGCCUUGUACACACCGCCCGUCACACCAUGGGAGUUGUUCUUACUGGACGACGUUGGGC